GACGAACGCUGGCGGCGUGCUUAACACAUGCAAGUCGAACGGUAAGGCCCUUCGGGGUACACGAGUGGCGAACGGGUGAGUAACACGUGGGUGAUCUGCCCUGCACUUCGGGAUAAGCCUGGGAAACUGGGUCUAAUACCGGAUAGGACCACUGCCUGCAUGGGUGGUGGGGGAAAGCUUUUGCGGUGUGGGAUGGGCCCGCGGCCGAUCAGCUUGUUGGUGGGGGGAUGGCAUACCAAGGCGACGACGGGUAGCCGGCCUGAGAGGGGGACCGGCCACACUGGGACUGGGAUACGGCCCAGACUCCUACGGGAGGCAGCAGUGGGGAAUAGUGCACAAUGGGCGCAAGCCUGAUGCAGCGACGCCGCGUGAGGGAUGACGGCCUUCGGGUUGUAAACCUCUUUCAGCACCGACGAAGCGCAAGUGACGGUAGGUGCAGAAGAAGGACCGGCCAACUACGUGCCAGCCGCCGCAGUAA
rnacentral:rRNA from 1 species